rnacentral:pre_miRNA from 14 species
AUCUAUGUAUUGAAAGACCCCCGGAGUGGGGAGACCCUCACUCAAGUCUCAGGAUGAUGCGACCCCCCAAGAACUCACGUGAGACC